AGAGUUUGAUCCUGGCUCAGGACGAACGCUGGCGGCGUGCUUAACACAUGCAAGUCGAACGGGGCAUAGAGAUAUGCCUAGUGGCGGACGGGUGAGUAACACGUGAGCAACCUAUCCUAUACAACGGGAUAACACAGAGAAAUUUGUGCUAAUACGGUAUAAGACCACACUCCGGCAUCGGAGAGGGGUAAAAGCUGAGGCGGUAUAGGAGGGGCUCGCGGCCCAUUAGCUAGUUGGAGAGGUAACGGCUCACCAAGGCGACGAUGGGUAGCCGAUCUGAGAGGAUGAACGGCCACAUUGGAACUGAGAAACGGUCCAAACUCCUACGGGAGGCAGCAGUGGGGAAUAUUGGGCAAUGGAGGCAACUCUGACCCAGCAACGCCGCGUGAAUGAAGAAGGUCUUCGGAUUGUAAAGUUCUUUAGCGAGGGACGAAAAGAAUGACGGUACCUCGAGAAUAAGCCACGACUAACUACGUGCCAGCAGUCGCGGUAAUACGUAGGUGGCGAGCGUUGUCCGGAAUGACUGGGCGUAAAGGGAGCGUAGGCGGCACAACAAGUUAGGAGUGAAAUACCGUGGCUUAACCACGGAACUGCUUUUAAAACUGUUGAGCUAGAGUGAUGGAGAGGAAAGCGGAAUUCCUAGUGUAGCGGUGGAAUGCGUAGAUAUUAGGAGGAACACCAGAGGCGAAGGCGGCUUUCUGGACAUUAACUGACGCUGAGGCUCGAAAGCGUGGGGAGCAAACAGGAUUAGAUACCCUGGUAGUCCACGCCGUAAACG
rnacentral:rRNA from 1 species